rnacentral:rRNA from 1 species
AGAGUUUGAUCAUGGCUCAGGAUGAACGCUGGCGGCGUGCUUAACACAUGCAAGUCGAACGAGGUCCAACCUUCGGGUGAAGACCGAGUGGCGAACGGGUGAGUAACACGUGGGGAACCUGCCCUGCUCUCUGGGAUAACCUCGGGAAACCGAAGCUAAUACCGGAUACUCCUUGCGGACCGCAUGGUCUGCUCGGGAAAGCUCCGGCGGAGAAGGAUGGCCCCGCGGCCCAUUAGCUUGUUGGUGGGGUAACGGCCCACCAAGGCGACGAUGGGUAGCCGAGCUGAGAGGCUGAUCGGCCACACUGGGACUGAGACACGGCCCAGACUCCUACGGGAGGCAGCAGUGGGGAAUCUUGCGCAAUGGGCGAAAGCCUGACGCAGCAACGCCGCGUGCGGGAUGAAGGCUCUCGGGUCGUAAACCGCUUUCAGCAGGGAUGAAAAUGACAGUACCUGCAGAAGAAGCCCCGGCUAAAUACGUGCCAGCAGCCGCGGUAAUACGUAUGGGGCAAGCGUUAUCCGGAUUCAUUGGGCGUAAAGCGCGCGUAGGCGGCUUGUUAAGUCAGGCGUGAAAUCCGGGGGCUCAACCCGCGGCUUGCGUCUGAAACUGGCAGGCUUGAGUCUGGUAGAGGAAAGUGGAAUUCCUGGUGUAGCGGUGAAAUGCGCAGAUAUCAGGAGGAACACCAGUGGCGAAGGCGGCUUUCUGGGCCACGACUGACGCUGAGGCGCGAAAGCUAGGGGAGCGAACAGGAUUAGAUACCCUGGUAGUC